UGUUCUUGUUUUUGUCGUCUCACCGUGUUCUUGUUUUUGUCAUCGCACGGUGUUCUUGUUUUUGUCGUCGCAUGGUGUUCUUGUUUUUGUCGUCACACGGUGUUCUUGUUUUUGUCGUCACACGGUGUUCUUGUUUUUGUCGUCGCAUCGUGUUCUUGUUUUUGUCGGGGGGGGGGGGGGGGGGGGGGGGGGGGGGGGGGGGGGGGGGGGGGGGGGGGUGGUCACACGGUGUUCUUGUUUUUGUCGUCGCAUGGUAUUCUUGUUUUUGUCGUCACAUCGUGUUCUUGUUUUUGACGUCGCAUCGUGUUCUUGUUUUUGUCGUCUCAGCAUGUUCUUGUUUUUUGUCGUCGCACGGUGUUCUUGUUUUUGUUGUCGCAUGGUGUUCUUGUUUUUGUCGUCGCAUCAUGUUCUUGCUUUUGUCGUCACAUCGUGUUGUUGUUUUUGUCAUCGCAUCGUGUUCUCGUUUUUGUCGUCUCAUCAUGUUCUUGUUUUUGUCAUUGCACUGUGUUCUUGUUUUUGUCGUCGAACAGUGUUCUUGUUUUGGCGGCGAUUCGUGUUCUUGUUUUUGUCAUCGCAUCCUGUUCUUGUUUUUCUGUCAUCGCAUCAUGUUCUUGUUUGUGUCGUCGCACAGUGUUCUUGUUUUUGUCGUCGCAUCAUGUUCUUCUUUUUGUCAUCGCAUCAUGUUCUUGUUUGUGUCGUCGCACGGUGUUCUUGUUUUGGCGGUGAUUCGUGUUCUUGUUUUUGUCGUCGCAUCAUGUUCUUCUUUUUGUCAUCGCAUCAUGUUCUUGUUUGUGUCGUCGCACAGUGUUCUUGUUUUUGUCGUCGCAUCAUGUUCUUCUUUUUGUCAUCGCAUCAUGUUCUUGUUUGUGUCGUCGCACAGUGUUCUUGUUUUUGUCGUCGCAUCAUGUUCUUCUUUUUGUCAUCGCAUCAUGUUCUUGUUUGUGUCAUCGCAUCAUGUUCUUGUUUGUGUCGUCGCACGGUGUUCUUGUUUUUGUCGUCGCACGGUGUUCUUGUUUUUGGCGGCGAUUCGUGUUCUUGUUUUUGUCGUCGCAUCCUGUUCUUGUUUUUUUUGUCAUCGCAUCAUGUUCUUGUUUGUGUCGUCGCACCGUGUUCUUGUUUUGUCGUCACAUCGUGUUCUUGAUUUUGUCUUCGCACAGUGUUCGUGUUUUUGUCGUCACACGGUAUUUUUGUUUUUUCGUCGCACGGUCGUCACACGGUGACAUGUUUUUGUUCUUGUUGGGGGGGGGGGGGGGGGGGGGGGGGGGGGGGGGGGGGGGGGGGGGGGGGGUUGUGUCGUCGCACAGUGUUCUUGUUUUUGUCGUCGCAUCAUGUUCUUCUUUUUGUCAUCGCAUCAUGUUCUUGUUUGUGUCAUCGCAUCAUGUUCUUGUUUGUGUCGUCGCACGGUGUUCUUGUUUUUGUCGUCGCACGGUGUUCUUGUUUUUGGCGGCGAUUCGUGUUCUUGUUUUUGUCGUCGCAUCCUGUUCUUGUUUUUUUGGGGGGGGGGGGGGGGGGGGGGGGGGGGGGGGGGGGGGGGGGGGGG
rnacentral:lncRNA from 1 species